GAAAAAAAGUGAAAGGGAGAAAAUAGAAGAAACCCUAAUCCCUACCAUCGUCGUCCACAGGUUUGCAACCGCCGCUCGCCGCCGUCGUCAGUACAGCCGACCAUCACCAUCGUCGUCCAGCGUAGCCCAGCUUGUCUUCGCCGUCUGUAGCAGUAGCCUGCUCGACACCGUCCUCCGUAACCAAAAACCCAGCGCAGUUUGAAGCCGUUAGCAGCGUGAGUGAACGUUCCUUCCUCUGUUUGGGUGAGACCCUCGUCGCCAGCCCCUUCUCUUCCACCCCCAUAGGUUUAAAUCAAUGGAACAACAGAAAGAGAAACCAUCAACUGCUACAAACCCACCCAUUCCUUCUUGUCGAAAGAAGAAAAACGAAGAAGCUACAUUUUUGGAGGAUUUGAAGGAUCACAUCGACGAGUUCAUUCAUGCGUCAAUGGAUGAACACAAAUCAUGCUUCAAGAAAACUAUCAACAAGAUGUUCCGUAUGUCAAAAGUUGUGGCAGAUAAGAAUUCAGAGACAAGUGGAGUUGAAAGUUCUUUGCCUCUUCGAACAACAGUAUCAGAAUAAAUUUUCUUUCUUCCUUUGUUCAAGGAUAGUUUGUCUGGAUCUUCAACCAACUCCAUGAAGUCUCAGGAUUCCUGUUUUGAUUUAUUUAUACUGCUUAUAGUCCACUUUGCUUUUGACCAUGUGAAAUGUUACUGUUGUUUCCCUUGAUGAGCUAUA
rnacentral:misc_RNA from 1 species